GUCUUCCCAUUUAAGAAGUAACCUGGUUAGCACUUGGAUGGGAGACCACCUGGGAAUACUGGCUGGGGUUAACC
rnacentral:rRNA from 14 species